rnacentral:tRNA from 1 species
ACAGCCUUAGUUUAUCUGGAGAACGAUAGUUUGUCGUACUAUGGGAGGGAGUUUCUUUCAGGCUGUG